CGACAAGCGGCGGAGCAUGUGGAUUAAUUCGAUGCAACGCGAAGAACCUUACCUGGGUUUGACAUACACCGGAAAACCGUAGAGAUACGGUCCCCCUUCGUGGUCGGUGUACAGGUGGUGCAUGGCUGUCGUCAGCUCGUGUCGUGAGAUGUUGGGUUAAGUCCCGCAACGAGCGCAACCCUUGUCUUAUGUUGCCAGCACGUAAUGGUGGGGACUCGUAAGAGACUGCCGGGGUCAACUCGGAGGAAGGUGGGGACGACGUCAAGUCAUCAUGCCCCUUAUGUCCAGGGCUUCACACAUGCUACAAUGGCCAGUACAGAGGGCUGCGAGACCGUGAGGUGGAGCGAAUCCCUUAAAGCUGGUCUCAGUUCGGAUCGGGGUCUGCAACUCGACCCCGUGAAGUCGGAGUCGCUAGUAAUCGCAGAUCAGCAACGCUGCGGUGAAUACGUUCCCGGGCCUU
rnacentral:rRNA from 1 species